rnacentral:lncRNA from 1 species
AACGGCACCAAGAAAGGUACACACGGCAAACGCCGUUUUCCCGAGCCAGCCAGUUUCUCCCGGCACAAGCCCACGGAACCACCGAGCGGCAGCGUGACAGAACAUCGCACCGGGACCACAACCGUUGGUCAAGACCGUCCAGUGUCGCCUGGGCUGCACUACAAACAACGACUUCCUUUUCACCGUUUUCCUGAGCCAGCCAGUUUUCCCUGCGCAAGCCUACGCAACCAUCAAGCGGCAGCGUGACGGAGCAUCAAAUAGGAUCAACAGCCAUUGGUCAAGACCGUCCCGUGUCGCCUGCGCUGCACUACAAAAGAAGACUGCCUUCUUGUAUGCUGGCACUUGGCAGCGGCGACGGAUAAGAGCAACGAUUACAACCAGCUGUUUUGCAGUUACCCUUUAACAGCUCCGCUGUAAAAAGGGAGCGCUGUGACUGCAGCCAACUGGCAGAAGCUACAAGAGGCUGCCUGCCAAGAACGUCCGCUCGUGCAGUGCAAGCAUCGCUCAGGGCAACAUGCUCGUGCUCGUAGCUUCUACUUCGACCCCACAUAAAGCGAAACUGCAGAGUCCAUUGAUCCUGGGUUCAAUCCCCACUCUUCCCCGAUUCGAUCUGGAUAAGCUAUAGUACCGGCGUGCAGUCGUGUAUCACUACUGCGUGGUGCACGUCAAAGACCCUAUAGGCUAGUGGUUGUACCGCACUGGCUAAAUCGCUCAUCUACAGCUGAGAGACAAGUCGCCGUUGAGGCAGACUAAGUUAAGGCUCUAUAUAUAAAGUGAAAGAAGCCAUAGUAAUUGUUCUUUUUCCAAAAUGCGUAGCGCGGAUGCGCGCAAUGCUUGCACUUCCUGGAUUUGAGAUUGCGUGCUGCCAAAACAGACCUGUCAUCUUGUAUGUUUUGCGCAAGUCUCGUUUACCCAGCCAUUUUUCCAGAGAAAAACUAGUUUUCUUUUUUGGCUUGCGUGGGCCAAUUGUUUUUAAACCAAACAGGGAACAGCCUCUCUAAAAGUUAACACUAGAUGAGAGCCGCAAGUAUAUUGACGAACAGAAGAGGAGAAAGACACUUCUGAUGGCGUGGAAACAACGAACUUUGAAGCAACAACUACAACCAUGGCGUCGACGCUUCGUGAGCCUAUCUGUUUCAGUUCAAUGUUUUGUCGUCUAUCU